rnacentral:rRNA from 1 species
CCCUUAGAUGUCCUGGGCCGCACGCGCGUUACACUGAUGCAUUCAACGAGCUUAUAACCUUGGCCGAGAGGCCUGGGCAAUCUUGUUAACGUGCAUCGUGAUAGGGAUAGAUUAUUGAAAUUAUUAAUCUUGAACGAGGAAUUCCUAGUAAACGCAGAUCAUCAAUCUGCAUUGAUUACGUCCCUGCCCUUUGUACACACCGCCCGUCGCACCUACCGAUUGGACGGUUUAGUGAGGGCCUCGGAUUGGUCUCGGCCCGCUCUUUACCGGGCGGCGCCGUUGGUCGAGAAGACGCUCGAACUUGAUCGUUUAGAGGAAGUAAAAGUCGUAACA